GCGUUGAAACACCAGUUCCCAUACGAUCAUCAAAGUUAAGCAAUAUUGAACAUGGUCAGUACUGGAUGGGUGACUGCUUGGAAAUACCAGGUGC